UACGUAGGUGGCGAGCGUUAUCCGGAAUGAUUGGGCGUAAAGGGUGCGUAGGUUGUUUUUUAAGUCAGCGGUGAAAGUUUGUGGCUCAACCAUAAAAUUGCCGUUGAAACUGGAAGACUUGAGUGUGUUUGAGGUAGGCGGAAUGCGUGGUGUAGCGGUGAAAUGCAUAGAUAUCACGCAGAACUCCGAUUGCGAAGGCAGCUUACUAAGCCAUAACUGACACUGAAGCACGCAAGCGUGGGGAGCAAAUAGG
rnacentral:rRNA from 1 species